GACGAAUCUAUUGCCCGUCAAACCUGCGCAUUACCGUGUGUAGGGGAGGGCGGCGAAAAACGGCAGUU
rfam:Limnohabitans sp. 63ED37-2, complete genome.